rnacentral:rRNA from 1 species
UACGUAGGGUGCGAGCGUUGUCCGGAAUUAUUGGGCGUAAAGAGCUCGUAGGCGGUGUGUCACGUCGGCCGUGAAAACCUGCAGCUUAACUGUGGGCGUGCGGUCGAUACGGGCAUCACUGGAGUUCGGCAGGGGAGACUGGAAUUCCUGGUGUAGCGGUGAAAUGCGCAGAUAUCAGGAGGAACACCGGUGGCGAAGGCGGCGAUCUGGGAAGAUACUGACGCUGAGGUGCGAAAGCGUGGGGAGCAAACAGG